AUUUUCUUUGUGUUUGUUGGAAAUUAUUGGUCCUUUUGAUUUUUUAACAUUUGACAUGAUCUAUGCUCGGUAACUUUGUUUACAAAUUUUAACUAUGUCUAGAGUUGUUAGCCUUGUACUUUGCAUUGUAGCAAAAAGAAUUCAGAGUAGCAUUGAGAAACAUGUUGUUUAUACAUAGUUGCAUAAGCAUGGGUUUUUACAUUAUGCCUAGAUUGUAUGUAAUGCUGAAAGUUUGAUGAUCUUGAUUUAUUUAUUUUGCUUGUUGGAUUUCUGACAGAAGAUCUCCGAAUAGGUGGAUUUAUACUAGGAAUAAUAGAAGGGGGAACAAGGGAUUUAGAACCUUAGCAACAACUAUUAAUAAAAAUAUAAAUAAUCAUGAUAGUAGAAUAAUAACUGCUUUCAGUUUUGUUGGGAUUUGUAGUUUUGUACGGGGUAGUUACAGAUCCUAUGAAGAGAUGGCAAAGAAAAAAGAAGAGGACGCUGCAAAUCUCACGAAGGAAGAGGAAGAGCAUAUGAAACUUCAGAAACAUGAAACCUUGCAAUUGCUCAAGAAAAAGGAAAAAACUGAAAACAUGAUCAAGGAAACAAAAUUGAACCGUUAGAAGAACAAAAUUGUCAUGAAAUCAUACUCACGAUUUGGUGAACAAUUUGGGUACGAUCACAAGUUGAAGGCUCUAGGCGAUUUAAAAGUUGAAUUGGUGUUUGAGCAGAGAUUGUAGUGUCUAUGGUUAUGAGAAAGACAACACAUAGGAUUGCCAAGAGAUAGAAGAUGUUCUUCUGAGUUUAGUUGCCGGUCUAAUCAUGAAACAACAUCAUUAAGGACUAUCUAGAUGAUUUAUGAACUAAGUUUGAUGUUGUUUUGCAUUUUCAGUCAUUAUGUUAAUGUUUUGGUUUUUGAAUAUUUAAACUAAUUUACUUAUUGUUUUGAUUAAAUUCAACGUAUGAUUGUUAUUUUUGAAGAUAUUAUAUGAAUUAGAUUUAUUUAUAA